UACGUAGGGUGCAAGCGUUGUCCGGAAUUAUUGGGCGUAAAGAGCUCGUAGGCGGUUUGUCGCGUCUGCUGUGAAAACCCGAGGCUCAACCUCGGGCCUGCAGUGGGUACGGGCAGACUAGAGUGGCGGUAGGGGAGGAUUGGAAUUCCUGGUGUAGCGGUGGAAUGCGCAGAUAUCAGGAGGAACACCAAUGGCGAAGGCAGAUCUCUGGGCCGGUAACUGACGCUGAGGAGCGAAAGCAUGGGGAGCGAACAGG
rnacentral:rRNA from 1 species